rnacentral:other from 1 species
AUGGUCCUGCGGUGCACGUUAAGGUCAUAGAUUCCUUGAACCAAUGCUUUUAGCAUCCAGGCUACGGAAGUUCGAGUGCUGCUGUUGUGAUCGUCCCUCGUCGGACGAACCUGAUGCGGCACCCUCUGUGGCCGCUCUGAACCCUCGGUUCAGGAUGCCGGCCUGACGGCAUCCGCGGGACACCU